GCGAGGGCCCGUGUGCCACUCCCGCUGAGCGCUGGCUUGGUUUUUCCCCUUUUAGCCUGCAGGCACUGAAUUCUGUGGGGCGCUAGAAGGCUAAAAGGGAAAAAACCAAGCCAAUGCUCAGCAGGAGCGGCGCACGGGCCCUCGC